UACGGAGGGUGCAAGCGUUAUCCGGAUUCACUGGGUUUAAAGGGUGCGUAGGUGGGUCUGUAAGUCAGUGGUGAAAUCUCCAAGCUUAACUUGGAACUGCCGUUGAUACUAUAGACCUUGAAUGCUGUGGAGGUGAGCGGAAUAUGUCAUGUAGCGGUGAAAUGCUUAGAUAUGACAUAGAACACCAAUGCGAAGCAGCUGCC
rnacentral:rRNA from 1 species